AUCAAAAUGCACAAUUCUAUCAUUCAUAACGUACCAAAUAAAUGAUGCAAAGUUUCCACAAAUCCGCAUAUAUAUAUGAACGAAACACCGCAGUAACUUGAAUUGACGUCGUGCAAGAGCGAGUCGAUAACAAGCACUUGCGCGAGUACGAUCGACAACUUUUAGUUUCUGCUGUUUUCAUAACGCAAUAAAAUGGUCUUGGUUUCAUCAGAAAAAAUUACUUUUGUCUCAAGAUAAGUAAAGUGAUAGCACGUAUUUUGAUAUCUACAAAUAAGAAAUAAAUAAAAAUAAAGCCGACGACAGCAAAAUCUAUUUAUAGUAAUCGGGUAUUUCCUAGAUGAUCACUUUCGGUUUCUAAAUGGUGAGACAGACAUGUGCCUGGUGUCGAUUGAUUUCGCGGACCUCACAUAUUACCGAUACAAGUCGUCACCAAAAUAAUAUACAGUGACCACUGUCAACUCAACUAACAAACUGUGAAGUGACACUGGGCAUUAUGAAGAGUUGCAGACGUACAGUGUAAAUGGACACAAACAGACAAACAAUCGUGUUCAGAUUGAGAUAGGCCUACAUAAUUAUGUAGGUAAGGUAUUGCCCAAUUACUUGUACAAUUGGAGCUGUCUCAAUUUUACUAGCAAGCUUGGUGUACAAAAUUUAAUGUGAACAUUGGCUUAUGGAUGAUUCUGCCUAAUAUAUGACAUCAAAGGUACAUCAGCUUUAGGACUUUAUUUAUAUGGAUAUAUGUGGUGUGACCAGUAUUGAAGAUAAAUGCCAUCCCCUGCCACCAGAGACAGCAGAUUUAGGCAUCUUUUCCCUUUAGCUACACUCUCCUACUAUUCUGUCAUUGAUUAAAAUUACAGAACUUAA